GCUGCGGUGGUCUAGUGGUUAUGAUAGGGGCUUGUGGUGCCCUUGACCCGGGUUCGAUUUCCGGUCGCGGCCCCA
rnacentral:tRNA from 1 species